AACAUGUGAUGUAACUGCGCAGAUGGUGCUGGUAUGUUGUUGGAGAAGUAUGAAGGAAGUUGCUUUACUUUUAGGCAUGUUGUGCCAGCUUCUGCCCAUGCAGCCUGUGCCAGAAUCUUCUGAUGGAUUAUUGACGGUGGAGCAGGUAAAUUUUCACAAGCAACAGGACAGUAAGAUGACUUGCUACUGAACUUUUUCUUAAAUGAUUGAUUCCCUAGAGCACUUCUUGUGAAGCAGUGUGCUGUCACCAGUUUCUCCAGGAGGAAAAUGUGUUCAUUCAGAGGUAAAAGAAAUAGGAGAUUACUUUAAACAACACCUUUUGCAGUCCAGGCACAGAGGAGCAUUUGAACUGGCUUAUACUGGUUUUGUGAAACUCACUGAAGUACUAAACAGGUGCCCAAAUGUGAGUCUGCAAAAGCUGCCAGAACAGUGGCUAUGGAGUGUUUUAGAGGAAAUUAAAUGCAGUAAUCCUUCAUCUAAACUCUGUGCUACAAGGCGCAGUGCUGGAAUUCCUUUCUACAUACAGGCACUGUUGGCGUCUGAA
rnacentral:sRNA from 1 species